CCUCACCUGACUGUCCUGGAGGUAACUCCAACAGCCUCGCUCCCCGGGCCUGUUCCCCACGGGGCCUUCACUUCCCUCCUGCCACACCAGGCUCCCGGGGCAGAGCGGGGGCAGAACAGAGCCCCAAAGUCUCAAGGCAAUUGUGAGGCUGAGGACUGAGCUGGGCCAGGCUCGGACCUCCCAGCUGUGCAAACCUGAGCGUGCCUUGGCCCCCAGAACCCUGCAGGGCUGUCUGUAAACUGGGGACGUGCCUGUCCACAGGGUCACUGAUUCAAGGGGCCCCCUCUGCCCAGAGCUGCUCUUGUCCUUGUCUCCCCCUCCUCCCCGCAUCCUCAGCCCCAUGCCCUGUGUCUCCGUGGGGACCCUGGGGAUCCGACUCUUGUCCUGCACAUCUUUUUUCGGGGGGGACCGGGGAUCGAACUCGGGUCCUUGAGCUUUCGAGGCAGGCAGUGGAACCACUGAGCUAAGUCCCCAGCCCCUGUCCUGCGUGUCUUUAGGGCCUGUCCAUCUCUGAGCUCUCGAGGCAGCCGUCCUCCUGGGGCUCCUGCCAACGCCUGGCCCCUGCAGCCCAGCACAGCCUCUUCCGAAGCAACCUCCUGCCAAGCCCAGACUGCCUGCCGCCGCCCUCAGGAUGAAUAUGCAUGUAUGGAAAUCAGCGAAGCCCAGAUCUGCUCGGCAGUCAGAGGGGUGACCCCUCUCCUGAAGGUUCCAAAGGCAGCUCCCACCCCACGCGCUGGCCAGGAGCCCAGCCCUCCCCUCGAGUUUUCUACCUAGAGAGACUCCCCGGGCACCUUGGGUAGGGGCGAGAGACGCCCACCCACCUUCACUACUAGCCUCUGAAUGCCUGGUAGGGGAAGUAGGAGACAGACAAGGGUGCUCCCCCCCCGCUGCUAAGCCGACAGGGGUGGUAAGGGCGGAAAGGAGCUUCCCGAUCCUCGGGCGGAGGGGCAGAAAGCAGCAACACCCUCUCUGAGCCUCUUCUUGGGGCCUGGUGCCGUCUUCUGUGGCGGUCUCGUGGCCACGCCCCAUCCUCAGCCCGGUUCCUACUCAGCCCUUCCCCCACCAGAGCCCCUUCCUCGGGGGCAGGAGACACUCAGGCGAUUUCCUCUGCACAGACCCCCAGUGACAACGACAGCAUCGGCGAUAGUGACCUCCCCCCAGUGCCCAGAGCCUGGUGGUCCAGAGCGCUGCCCGUCCACACAGCUGAUGUGGGAAGUGAGGACACCACACCCUGGACUUUAACCAUGACGACCCCAGACUCGGGUGCUGCAGGCCUGGCCCCAGCCCCUCGUAUGGCUCCACGCUACCCUAGGACCUGGGACCAGGACGGAAGCCCCAGAGCUACUGACCUUCGUGCCGGCGAUUCCUGGUCACAGCUUACGCGCCCUUCCCAGCUGCGGCCACCCGAACACCACCAGCCCCUGCCGGUGUCUCCGGGAGCCAAAAUCACCCAGUUGAGGACCGCUGCUUACUGCAAAGCUGGCGCUCUGCCGGGAAAGUUAAUGCCAAAGAGGAAUAAUAAUUAAAGCAAUGAUAAUAAAUGCAACAAUAACAGGGAUUGUAGAAACAACAAUAAUUUUGAUAAUCACAGCCAUGACAAAAGUAAUCGCAGCAGCAAUGAUAAUAGCGCUCACGAUCGUACAAGGCAGCAGGGGCGACAGUAAACAGUGUGAUGUGCUAAUCAUCGUCGGACGCAGCUCUGGGACUUUGGCAGGAGGAGGGCUCCUGUGUCCCGCUGCCAAGACCCGUCCACCCUGCGUCUCCAGCCCUGGGUCCCCAGCGAGGUGACCAGAGAGGCCACCUGAGGCCGCCGAGGAUGGCGCUCGGCCCAGGGGCAGGUGAGUGGUGGCUGAGACCUCGUGGCUGCCCCUCCCGUCUCCCCGGGGUCUGUGCAGAGGGAACUGAGGCCUCUCUGUCCAACUUCAGGGGGAGGUUUGACCGUCACCGGCAAGAAGGGUCACAGAUUCCUGUGACUGUGCCCCUGCCUGCCCACAGGGCUCCCCGGCCCUGCCACCUCUGGGCCCGAGAGCGAGAGGAGAGCACUUUCCUCGUCGGGUGCCCUCCGUGCGUCCCAGGGAGAGUCCUCGUGCUCUGCAGGGGUGUGGAGUGACUGGGCCUGCAGCCUGGGCACCCUCGGGGUCUCUCCUGAGACUCCAGCCAGCUUCGGGGACUCUGGUCCUCCCACUCCACACAGACACGCACGCCCACCACACACGCAUGUCACAGAGACACACACAGUGGCCACGCACACUGCCUACCCACACACACCACACUCACGUACACACGGUCACAAGACAGCACAGCCCGCUCUCGGAGAGGGAACUCCGAUCUGGGACAACCAGGCCAGCCACACCCAGCCUACCCCAGGCGACCCAACCUCUUCUUCCUCUCUUGCACCCAGGAGGUCAGCAGAGUCCCUGGGUCCCCAUCCUCAACCUUAGCCGGGCCCUGGCCUAGGAGCCCCCUUGCCUCUGGGUGUCCUCUGGGGGACCUGGGGUGGCAGAGGCCCGGGGUCCUGGCUGGAGCGCCAGGCUGUGCUGUGUAUUGUCCCUCAUAGCGAGGUGCACUGAGGGGUAGACAAGGCUGGUUCCGGCCAGCCCCAGGGUGACCUCCGUGCCCCAGGGAGAUGUCACUGCCCAGCUGUGUGGAGCAGGCUGCACAGGGCCUGUCUGUGUGGUUGCUAGGAGGUUUCCAUGACAACGGAUGGGGCCAGGGAAGCCUGACAGCUGCAUGCACCCCCAUCAGCCACAUCCAGGCCCCUCUGGCAGCACCCCAGGACUGGGGCCACCCACCCAGGACCCCAAAGACCCCUCUAGUGACCCAGCCACCUGGGGACACAGAAGGCUGAGGUGAGCAGGCGGAAGAGGCACUGGGGCCGC
rnacentral:lncRNA from 1 species